UGCGCGUAACACCACAGCCUUGCCAAACUCCGAGAGCAGCAGAGAUGGUUCCCCCAGAUCAGAGCCUGCAAGCAUGUGCACUAUCUGGGGACUUCCGUCGCCUGCACCGCCAAGGUUCUUGGUCGGGAACAACUUCCGCGGCUUGCAGGUGAGCCCUGCUCCAGCUGCUGCUGGUGUGGCUGAAGAGGAUGUGGCCCAGG
rnacentral:lncRNA from 1 species